GACGAACGCUGGCGGCGUGCUUAACACAUGCAAGUCGAACGGAAAGGCCCUGCUUUGGUGGGGUGCUCGAGUGGCGAACGGGUGAGUAACACGUGAGUAACCUGCCCUUGACUUUGGGAUAACCUCAGGAAACUGGGGCUAAUACCGGAUAGGAGCUCCUGCUGCAGGGUGGGGGUUGGAAAGUUUCGGCGGUUGGGGAUGGACUCGCGCCUUAUCAGCUUGUUGGUGGGGUAGUGGCUUACCAAGGCUUUGACGGGUAGCCGGCCUGAGAGGGUGACCGGCCACAUUGGGACUGGGAUACGGCCCAGACUCCUCCGGGAGGCAGCAGUGGGGAAUAUUGCACAAUGGGCGGAAGCCUGAUGCAGCACCGCCGCGUGCGGGAUGACGGCCUUCGGGUUGUAAACCGCUUUCGCCUGUGACGAAGCGUGAGUGACGGUAAUGGGUAAAGAAGCACCGGCUAACUACGUG
rnacentral:rRNA from 1 species